GCUGCGAUGGCCGAGUGGUUAAGGCGUUGGACUCGAAAUCCAAUGGGAUAUUCCCGCGCAGGUUCGAAUCCUGUUCGCAGCA
rfam:Ciona savignyi cont_18399, whole genome shotgun sequence.